rnacentral:snRNA from 1 species
CGAACGGCUGGCAUUCGCCUCCCCG